rnacentral:miRNA from 1 species
AUGGUCCGUGGUACGGUGUCCU